AUACGGUAAAGGAUUCCCUCCUCUUCACUGGCUCUUUGAUCUACAAAGUGUCACUCCUGCAAAGGAAGAAGAGGAGAAAAAGAUAGAGGCUUUACUCUGCAGCAACUUUAGGAAGCCUAUACCCUGUGACAAGGAGAGCAUCAAGUAGGCUACCAGUUUAACUGACUCUGAUCUAUAUUAUAGUGAGUG
rnacentral:lncRNA from 1 species